rnacentral:rRNA from 1 species
AGUGAACGCUGGCGGUAGGCCUAACACAUGCAAGUCGAACGGCAGCACAGUAAGAGCUUGCUCUUACGGGUGGCGAGUGGCGGACGGGUGAGGAAUACAUCGGAAUCUACUUUUUCGUGGGGGAUAACGUAGGGAAACUUACGCUAAUACCGCAUACGACCUACGGGUGAAAGCAGGGGAUCUUCGGACCUUGCGCGAUUGAAUGAGCCGAUGUCGGAUUAGCUAGUUGGCGGGGUAAAGGCCCACCAAGGCGACGAUCCGUAGCUGGUCUGAGAGGAUGAUCAGCCACACUGGAACUGAGACACGGUCCAGACUCCUGCGGGAGGCAGCAGUGGGGAAUAUUGGACAAUGGGCGCAAGCCUGAUCCAGCCAUACCGCGUGGGUGAAGAAGGCCUUCGGGUUGUAAAGCCCUUUUGUUGGGAAAGAGAAGCAGCAGGUUAAUACCCCGCUGUUCUGACGGUACCCAAAGAAUAAGCACCGGCUAACUUCGUG